rnacentral:rRNA from 1 species
GGCCAGACUCCUACGGGAGGCAGCAGUGGGGGAUAUUGCACAAUGGGGGGAACCCUGAUGCAGCGACGCCGCGUGGGUGAAGGAGCGUUUCGGCGCGUAAAGCCCUAUCGGCAGGGAAGAAGGAGGACGGUACCUGACUAAGAAGCCCCGGCUAACUACGUGCCAGCAGCCGCGGUAAUACGUAGGGGGCAAGCGUUAUCCGGAUUCACUGGGUGUAAAGGGAGCGUAGACGGCGGCGCAAGUCUGGAGUGAAAGCCCGGGGCCCAACCCCGGGACUGCUCUGGAAACUGCGGCGCUGGAGUACGGGAGGGGCAGGCGGAAUUCCUGGUGUAGCGGUGAAAUGCGUAGAUAUUAGGAGGAACACCAGUGGCGAAGGCGGCCUACUGGACGGUGACUGACGCUGAGGCUCGAAAGCGUGGGGAGCAAGCAGGAUUAGAUACCCCAGUA